UCUCUCUCCUCUAGAAUUCAUCGUUAUUCAUAAUGGAAUCAUCACCAACUACAAAGACUUGAAAAAGUUUCUGGAAAGCAAAGGCUAUGACUUUGAAUCUGAAACAGACACAGAGACCAUCGCUAAGCUAGUCAAGUACAUGUAUGACAACUGGGAAAGCCAGGACGUCAGUUUUACUACCUUGGUGGAGAGAGUUAUCCAGCAAUUGGUAUUGAACCACACUUUUAAAGAUUAUUAUGUC
rnacentral:lncRNA from 1 species